GGUCCCCAGAUGUUGUUGGACUACAACUCCCACCAUCCCUGAGCUCUGGCCUUGCUAGCUAGGGGUGAUGGGAGUUGUAGUUCAACAAUAUCUGGGGACCCA
rnacentral:miRNA from 1 species